GGCCCUAACCACAUUUCUUGGCCAGGACACAUCAUUGCAGACCCCAUUUGUGGUUUGCCUGUUUGUUUCUUCUCCCGCCCCUAGACUCUUCCUUACUCAUCUCCUUCAUUGUCUUCCUCAUUGGAGGGAUCACCCUUGGGGUAUUUUAAAAGAGAAAGCCUCCACGCCCGAGGGCAGGGGACAGGGAUUUGUACUCCAUAUUUCUUGAUUUUCAGAGGUGAAUAUGUAACCCUACCUGCAUCUCUAGGAAUGUGUAGAUUAGUUCUAACAUAGUGUGACUCCAUAGGGCUCAAUAAUAGGAUCAGGGUGUUCUGGCAAGUGGCCUAUGGAUGGACUGAAGGUUCUUCCCAGUGAGUGGUCCCUCUGUGUCCACGACAUGCCAGGACUCUCCCCCAGGCUGUGAGUCCAGGUCAGUCUCCUGACUCACCCCCCAGUGAGCACUGGCUCAUGCUGCUCCCAGCCCUGGACUGCACUCUGUCCUCCUGCCUGCCAACCUAAAGCCCACUCCAAGAUCUAAAGCCUGUCCAGGUCCCACCUUCCUGGGAAACUGUGUGUGACCCCAGUCCACUAAUGCUCUGUUCUGAGUCCCUGGGCCAUUUUAUUUUAUUUUAUUUUUUUGUCCUCUAAAGGAUGCAGCUCUGCCAUAUAUGCUGUUCGGGUCAGUCUGAUUCUGUUUCAUGGGGGGGUGGUGAGCCUUGGUUCCUGACCUCGGGGGGUCACAGGCUGUUAGGUCACUAUGUCCUUUCUUAUAAGGGGAUACUUAAUAAUGCCCCUGGGCCCACUGGUCCAGGUGAUGAGCCACUGCCCCUCCAUGAGGGAACAGGUAGAAAAAGAGCUUCUAGGGAUGGUCUCACAUGGCAACCACCCUGCCCCCCCACCACCCUGCAGUUCAGACAUCAGUAAUCAAUCUCAACACUCUCCCAUCAACCCCUGGUGACACUCUGCUCCUCUUCAACAAAGAGCUCCAGCAGUUAUGGUCAAUCCAUCAGAGUUUGGCCAAGAGAGGAAACCUACAUGCCAACCUCAGAGGUGAUGCGUGGAUGGACUUGAAUGAACGACCCAGAGAUCUUCAAGCCAGAAGCAGAUGUGAAGGUGAUGGGCCAUGGUCUAGAAGGAAAUUGCAUCCCCAGCUCACUCCCAGAAUCUCAUGACCUGGACUUUGUGCUCCAGAGUGGUGACAGAUCACCCUUCAGUGGGGGGCUGCCCUGGGGGCCAUACAUGGAGCUCCUCAGAUUCCAGUGGUGGCACUCCCAGCAGCGGUCACCAAGUGGCAACGGAUCCCCGAGUUCAUCUGAAAGGCAAGGAGCUGGGAUCGAAGCCGUUUCCUGGGAUACUGUGCAGCCAGCUGUGACCAGCAAGAGGGAUGCAAUGAGUUGGGCUGUGUGGCCGGCCCUCACAGGAAGCCAGCCUGCGUGGGCUGUCUCAGUCACCAGGGCCCCCUGGAGCUUUACCCUCUGUCUUUCCAUUGCAGAGCAGGCCCAUGGCCAUUUUGCAUCACGACUCCCCUCGAGGGUGGAAGUGAGAAGAGGACAAGCGUUGGGGCAGCCGGGAGGGCCUGACGACCGCAGAGCCGUCGGGGCAGACCGGGAACGUGCAGAGGGCAACUGUUGUCAGGGUGUUCCAGUGUGCGGCCGGGACCUUGCAGACACACGAGAUUGUCACACUUCAGGGGGAGUCUCUGUGCAGUGUGAUGUCUGGAUGCACAGGGACGCAGAGGCAGGAUGGCCCCGCAGGGACCGUUGCGGGGGGUAGGGGGGAGGCCUCCCUGUUUCCCCUCGCACUAUCGUGUUUGGAUGUAAAUCAGACCCCGACACAGGCCUCUUCUCCUCUUGGGUGCUGGGCACCACCAGCAGCUCAGCUGCAGGAUUGUUCUGCGUCUAGCGUGCUGCCUUACGUCAGUAUUCCGGAAAACUCUGUGCCACAGUAAGAACUAGAGAUGCAGCAACUGGGAAGUAGGGGUGAAAUCUCCCCAGAGUGCGAAUGAGUCAGCAGGAGGGCCGGGGCUCAAACGCGACGGCACACAUGAGCAGGCUUGUGAAACACGUGUGGUAGGAAAGAAGGCCAUGCGUCGCCACGCAGUAUAGACGUCGGCCAGUUCCCGGUUAUCAGCACUUCACUGAGAUGAAUGGAGCACAAGGGGUCACCUUCGGGGUCAUGGUCAGACCGGAAUGUCCCACCACGUGCCAACUGCGCACUUCUGUUCCUUGUUCCAUGGGGCUCCCCUCCCCUGGGAAUCCCCUACGACUGUGGCUCUUGAACCCCAAACAGUGAAAUGUGUCUGCAAACGCCUGGUUUGUCAGGGGGCUCCCCAACGACAACUACAGCCGCUGGUGUCUCAGGACUGAGUGGGUGGGGUGGUUUUUGUGCUGCUAAUCCCCCAACCCAGCGGCAAGAAGGGGGUCGUCUGGUUUCCCUGCAGAAUCAGGGGAAACAGCCCAGACAGAGAGCUCUCCUGUGUUGCCCGAGGGAGGCGCAUGGCGCGGUCGUACCCAGACCCUCUUUCAGAUCAGGGGACCCACACACACGUUGCCCCAGUUUAUAAACAGAACAAACAAAAUGUCUUAUUGAUGUUGUUCUGCAUCUAAGACAUAAACCUGCUUUGUCUUCAUCCCCACGGGAGCCCGAGGAAAAGCCGUGAUGUGGACUCUGUGCCUGGGCUCAGGCUCCUGGCCUCGGGAGCCCCGGGGGCGUGAUCGCAUCCCGGCCUGAGCACAGCUGCGAGCCACAAAGCCUCCUCAGAAACAGGCGCUGCAUCAUCACCCGACUCGGAAGAAAUCCUAACGGCAUCCUCCAAAGAAGCGAGGGACAGUGUUUAAGUGCACGGCUUUCUUAAGAAGACCCAAACCUACUUUCUUAGAAAAGGGCGGGGGGCAGGGGGGGAAUCAUCUAGAGCUAGUUUUGUGUUUUUACUAGAGAUUUUUUUUUAAAGGUUUUUUUAUUUUGAAAUAAAUUUUAAAUUCCCAGGAAGUUUCAAAAAUAGGCCUAGAGUUCCAUGCACCCCACACCCAGCUUUCCCCCACAAUGACACCCUCUGUGACACGGCAGUGUCUAGAGCAGGACACUGACAGGUACACAAUGCUGCUGCCCACACAUCCCAUUCAGAUUUUUAAGAAGGGAAAAAGUUCAUAAAAUAUCAGGAAAUUAUCUAUAUACUCUUGGUUUUUUUUUUUUCUUUUUAGUUUCAGAGCUAGAGGUCAGGGACUCAUCAAUCUGACAUCACACCCAGUGCUCAUCCCAUCACAUGCCCUCUGCCAUGUCCAUCACCCAGUGACCCCGUCCCCCAUCCAGUGACCCUCAGUUUGUUCCCAGAGUUAAGAGUCUCUGAUGGU